AGAGUUUGAUCCUGGCUCAGAACGAACGCUGGCGGCGCGUUUUAAGCAUGCAAGUCGAACGGUAUACAAAGCUUGCUUUGUAGAGAGUGGCGGACGGGUGAGUAACGCGUAGGUAAUCUACCUUAGAGUUGGGGAUAGCCCAUGGAAACAUGGGGUAAUACCGAAUAAUCUUCUUUUUAUUAAUUAGAAAGAAGGAAAGGGGCUUCGGCCUCGCUUUUAGAUGAGCCUGCGUACUAUUAGCUAGUUGGUGGGGUAAGAACCUACCAAGGCGACGAUAGUUAGCCGGCCUGAGAGGGUGACCGGCCACACUGGGACUGAGACACGGCCCAGACUCCUACGGGAGGCAGCAGCUGAGAAUCUUCCGCAAUGGUCGCAAGACUGACGGAGCGACGCCGCGUGGACGAAGAAUGUCGAGAGAUUGUAAAGUCCUUUUAUAGGUGAGGAAUAACUCCUAGAGGAAAUGCUAGGAGGAUGACGUUAGCCUAUGAAUAAGCCCCGGCUAAUUACGUGCCAGCAGCCGCGGUAAUACGUAAGGGGCGAGCGUUGUUCGGAAUUAUUGGGCGUAAAGGGAGCGCAGGCGGUUACAUAAGUCUGAUGUGAAAGACCACAGCUCAACUGUGGGAACGCGUUGGAAACUGCGUAACUAGAGUCAUAGAGGGGGAGAUGGAAUUCCUAGUGUAGGGGUGAAAUCUGUUGAUAUUAGGAAGAACACCGGAGGCGAAGGCGAUCUCCUGGCUAAUGACUGACGCUGAGGCUCGAAAGCGUAGGGAGCAAACAGGAUUAGAUACCCUGGUAGUCUACGCCGUAAACGAUGUGCACUUGGUGUUGGAUCGUAGGAUUCAGUGCCGAAGCAAACGCGAUAAGUGCACCGCCUGGGGAGUAUGCCGGCAACGGUGAAACUCAAAGGAAUUGACGGGGGCCCGCACAAGCGGUGGAGCAUGUGGUUUAAUUCGAUGAUACGCGAGGAACCUUACCAGGGCUUGACAUAUAGUGGACGAGUAUAGAGAUAUGCUUUUCCUUCGGGACUGCUAUACAGGUGCUGCAUGGUUGUCGUCAGCUCGUGCCGUGAGGUGUUGGGUUAAGUCCCGCAACGAGCGCAACCCCUAUUGUCUGUUGCCAGCAUUAAGUUGGGGACUCAGGCAAGACUGCCGGUGACAAACCGGAGGAAGGUGGGGAUGACGUCAAAUCAUCAUGGCCCUUAUGUCCUGGGCUACACACGUGCUACAAUGGCCAGUACAGAGUGACGCGAAGCCGCGAGGUGGAGCAAAACGCAGAAAGCUGGUCUCAGUUCGGAUUGGAGUCUGAAACUCGACUCCAUGAAGGUGGAAUCGCUAGUAAUCGCGCAUCAGCAUGGCGCGGUGAAUACGUUCCCGGGCCUUGUACACACCGCCCGUCACACCACCCGAGUUGGGGGUACCCGAAGUCGCUCGUCUAACUGGUAACAGAGGACGGUGCCGAAGGUAUGCUCGGUAAGGGGGGUGAAGUCGUAACAAGGUA
rnacentral:rRNA from 1 species